rnacentral:rRNA from 1 species
GACGAACGCUGGCGGCGGGCUUAACACAUGCCAGUCGAACGGAAAGGCCCUGCUUUUGUGGGGUGCUCGGGUGGCGAACGGGUGAGUAACACGUGAGUAACCUGCCCUUGACUUUGGGAUAGCUUCAGGAAACUGGGGCUAAUACCGGAUAGGAGCUCCUGCUGCAUGGAGGGGGUUGGAAAUUUUCGGCGGUUGGGGAUGGACUCGCGGCUUAUCAGCUUGUUGGUGGGGUAGCGGCUUACCAAGGCUUUGACGGGUAGCCGGCCUGAGAGGGUGACCGGCCACAUUGGGACUGAGAUACGGCCCAGACUCCUACGGGAGGCAGCAGUGGGGAAUAUUGCACAAUGGGAGGAAGCCUGAUGCAGCAACGUCGCGUGCGGGAUGACGGUCUUCGGGUUGUAAACCGCUUUCGCCUGUGACGACGCGUGAGUGACGGUAAUGGGUAAAGAAGCACCGGCUAACUACGUG